rnacentral:rRNA from 1 species
AACGAACGUUGGCGGCGUGGAUUAGGCAUGCAAGUCGAACGAAUCCCACUGUUGUAGCAAUACAGUGGUGGGGGAAGUGGCGAAAGGGGCAGUAAUGCGUGGGUAACCUACCUCGGGGACGUGGAUAGCCAUUCUAACGAGUGGGUAAUACGCGGCGAUUUGGUUGAGGGGCAUCCCUUGGCCAGGAAAUGAGUUUCGCCUCGAGAGGGGCUCACGUGAUAUUAGCUAGUUGGUGAGGUAACGGCUCACCAAGGCAAAGAUGUCUAGCGGGUGUGAGAGCACGACCCGCGCCACUGGCACUGAGACACUGGCCAGACACCUACGGGUGGCUGCAGUCGAGGAUCUUUGGCAAUGAGCGCAAGCUUGACCAAGCGACGCCGCGUGUGCGAUGAAGGCCUUCGGGUUGUAAAGCACUGUCGAGGGGGACGAAGCCGCAAGGUUGACCGAUCCCUGGAGGAAGCACGGGCUAAGUUCGUGC